UUGUUUUUUUCUUCAAUCAUUUGUGUUUACUGAUUGGCAUCUGUAAUCUUCUCUACGAAUAGUACUCUCUAGUCUUCUACCAUUUCCUACAAUGGAACUUACCAUGUAAUCCUUGAGGAUGGGUUUCCCAAACUUGUUCCUGAUGACUCUCCUAUCCUACACAAUAUUCCUAUAAGUAUACCCCAUUUACAAUCUGUUUCCUCUAAAUGCAAAACAAUCCUGCCCUCAUCCAUGUCCCAUGUGCUAGACAAAACGGACUUAUCAAUGGUUCACAUUAAUGCUCGCUCACUCCACCAAAACUUUGAUUUUAUUGUUGCUUUUGUUUCCAAGCAAAAUAUUAAAGUCGAUAUACUGUUGAUCUCUGAAACUUGGCUUAAAUCUGACAUCACUGACUGUUACAGGAUUGAUGGCUGAGCUACACGGCUGGACAGGGUCCGGUCGAAGCCCGGUGCCAUGCUGCUGGGGGCUGCUGCGGCCUGCGACGGAUGGCGGCUGUUGCUUCCGCUCCCUGAGGAGAUGCCGUCCUUGUGGCGCACAGGGCGGCUACCCACGGUUGCAGCCCGAUGGCUUCAUUCUCGGGACGCGGCCCGUUGGAUGUGCGACGACCGGCACCUUGCGACCGCUGCGGUGACCGGCAGCGGUGCCCCCUCUCCUGACUUGACAACGGACUACAUCUUCGUGCUGCCAUGGGGUGGCGCCACUGGUGGGACGAGCGCCACUGGUGGAGCAGGCGCCAUCUCUGAGGCGGUACAGCCGACCGGCUGGCUAACGGCGUCGAGCGCCUGAUGAAUGCUGCGCUGAGCGGCGAUACUGAUUCGCCGCUCUCGAACUGUCGAAGUCCCAGUGAGCUUGUUGGACAUGACUACGGGGCAGCCGACUAGACUUCAUUCUCGGCCGCGGCCCGUUGGAUGUGUGAUGACCGGCACCUUGCGACCGCUGCGGUGACCGGCAGCGGUGCCCCCUCUCCUGACUUGACAACGGGCUACAUCUUCAUGCUGCCAUGGGGUGGCGCCACUGGUGGGACGAGCGCCACUGGUGGAGCGGGCGCCACCUCUGUGGCGCUACUGCCGACCUUGGACCGGCGGGAUGACGGCGUCGAACGCCCGAUGACUGUGUGCUGGACGGCGAUACUGAGUCGCCGCUCUCCGGGCACCAUCCCCAUCGACCAAGGCCCGGCUGGUGCUUGGCGCCGGGUGCCGGAUGGCCGCUGCGCUCGGCGGCGGUGCUGGGUCGCCGCUCUCUGGAAUGACCGCUGACUCGUCUUUUUGAUCUCGUCUUUGUGUUACCGUCUGGUUAGGCACUGUCAAACUCCCCAAUAUAACCUUUAACACUAACUGUCCGUAUUCUAACAAAACUAACAUGUGAAUCCUUUCCGACCAAUCCCGUUUGACAGUGCCAUAAAUUAUGAAUUGUUCAAUGUGUGAUCCCAAAUUAUAAUCAAUAAACGGAACGGAACGGAAAAAAAAA